rnacentral:misc_RNA from 1 species
CAAGCAGCAACUUCUUGCUCCUUUGAAGCAAGCUGGUUUUGAAUGUGUUGAGGGACAACAUCAAACUUGGAUAAUUGCAUGGUAUAGGAUGCGCGACCUUUUGUCAUUCCCCUAAGAGUACUAACAUAUUGAAACAUCUCCGCCAGCGGAACAAGGGCAUCAACCACCUUCAGGCCACCAGGUUUGUCACCGAAGCUGUUAAUCUGACCUCUUCUAGAGUUGAGAUCACCAAUAACAUCUCCCAAAUGUUCUUCAGGGGUGACCACUUCAACUUUCAUUAUAGGUUCUAGCAUCUUUGGGCCAGCUCUCUUCAUGCCAUCUC